rnacentral:tRNA from 1 species
GGCUUGUAGUUCAGUGGUAGAGUGCUUGUCUUGAACAUGUGAGGCACUGGGUUCAAACCUCAGCACCA